rnacentral:lncRNA from 1 species
AUGGGACUGUCAUGGCCGCCGUCGCUGAACUGCAAGGCUGAAGAGAAAAGGAAGGUGGUUGAGGAUGGCUACGAGUUCUUUGCGAAGAGGCUGGUGACGCUGUUCUUGGCCCCAAACUACUGUGGCGAGUUUGACAACGCCGGAGCCAUGAUGAACGUGGACGAGACCCUCGUGCUCCUUUCAGCCUCCCCAGAUCCUCAAGCCUGCAGACAAGAAGCUGUUCUACGGGGGCAGAGGAGGCAUGGGCUCCAGAUGGCCCGUCACUCCCCCCAGGAAAGCCAAAAAAUGACCGCCCCUCCACCAGCGCCCCACCCUGCCUGCCCUCUCUACCUCUCUUUCCUCUCUUUCACCAAACAGCCAGACAUUCCCCCCAGGAAAGCCAAAAAAUGACCGCCCCCUCCCUCAGCCUCCACUUGCGCCCCACCCUGCCUGCCCUCUCUACCUCUCUUUCCUCUCUUUCAACAAACAGCCAGACAUAAAACAAGUACCCAUGGCUUUGAAUUUUUUUUUAUUGUAAUUCUUAAGAAAAACAUUUAAUGCUAUGAAUUUUCUAAGAGUGGGUGUGUCUGCGUGUGAGCAUUACAAAGUGUGUGUACAUUAUGUGCGAAAAUGUGCGAGAUUUGUACAAUCCCCUUCUCUACCCACUUUGCCCCAUUGAAAGGAUGAAACCAGUGUCAGCCUCUAUGUUAAAAUCUGCGUUCGGGAGACAGUGGCCACAGCUGACCUGAUGAAUUUAGCAGCAAACUCCUGCAAACAGAUUGUGUGUGUGUGUGUGUGUUUGUGCAAGUGCAAGGGGGGAUUACUUUGUUUUUCCCUGUCCCCUGUGCUGUAAAAUGUCAAACACAGAUGUGUGUGUGCCGUGUGACUUCUCCCGCUUCAAGUAAGAUGUUUGAAUAUCCUCGAGCAGUAGAGGUUAAGUGUGUCGAUUGUCUCAAAGGAAAGCAAGCAUCCCCUCCACUCGCACGCACAUGCACACACAUACAAUUGCCCUUUUCAUAGAUCAGAUGCAUACGAGCCAGAGCUGUAAAAAAAAAAACACACAAUUUAGGUUUGUACAGAUUUGAUAACUUGAAAAAGAUUUGUCUUGUAGUCUUUCAUCAAGUUGACCAAUAAAGUGAGA